UUCACCAGCUUUAAAAAAUCGUGUCUACGUGCAAUUUAUGUAUAGUUGACCGGGAAAUUAAAGCAGCGAUCACUUGGACUAUUCCGCAGCACCCCUCUCACAUUGGUACAUCCCCCCCCCUCCCCCGGUAUUCAUUGUCUUCUACAGUAGAGCGGGACAUUUAAUUUACUCUCAGCGGAAUUGACCGGAGAAGGCAUCAGUUCAUGCACUGCACUGGCCUGCACCAUGAUUAGUAUAAGGCACAUUUCACGAAGCAGAACGCAGUCUUCAGAGAUAUCCACGUGAACGCUGUGAUACGUCUGACCUUCAGUCCGAAGAAGAAACCCAGACCAGUCUUAAAAGAAAGCACAAACCAAAUCCCCUGUACACAUAUACGGACUCAGAGGAUGAGUUUUUUUGUGGGGAAAGCCUACAAAAAAACGGUUUUCCCAGGCCCCUCGAGUGAAAAUACCAGCCCUCAUCACUCCGCAGUCUGCCCCCCAGCCCACUGAUAGCAACCAUCAUAAUGCCCCACCCAGCUUCCGGCACCUUUCGCCACUCCGGCACAAACCGAAACAGCUUUGCGAUCUCCCCAGCAUGCAGAGUCUGAUGUCUUCCCUAUAGAUGAUUCCAGAGACUCUGUGAAGCCACUAUUACAAGGUGAGACGCUUUGCGUUGAUUGGUGCUGCUGGACCACACUGGAGGUGCGAGUCCGCCGUGUAAUGGUUUAUGCCAUUACAAAGGAGCUGGCCUCUGUACUCAACUGGGCAGGGAAAAAAAAACAAGGACCAGACAAAGCAAAAAAGGGCAUUUAAAGAGACAGCGCCGUGCAGAUGCAUAUUUGAUGGCCUGGCGCAGCAGGUAGGGGCGAACUCUAUGUCUGAGUUGGUCUUUGCUCAAGCAGUCCAGAAAUGGCUCAGAUAUGCUCCAGGUCGUACGGGUGGCGCGCAGGACGCCCAUCAUCCAUCCCCAUCCCGGAGUAAAUAAUAAAAAGUGACGUGAAACAUAGAAAUGUAAAUAGGAAACUUUGUCUUUUAAUAAAGUAUUUUGCAAAUGA